UACAGAGGGUGCAAGCGUUUAAUCGGAAUUACUGGGCGUAAAGCGUGCGUAGACGGUUAUGUAAGUCAGAUGUGAAAGCCCCGGGCUCAACCUGGGAAUUGCAUUUGAGACUGUGUAGCUAGGGUGCGGAAGAGGGAAGCGGAAUUUCCGGUGUAGCGGUGAAAUGCGUAGAUAUCGGGAGGAACACCGGUGGCGAAGGCGGCCACCUGGACGGUAACUGACGCUGAGACGCGAAAGCGUGGGGAGCAAACAGG
rnacentral:rRNA from 1 species